rnacentral:rRNA from 1 species
GAUGAACGCUGGCGGCGUGCUUAACACAUGCAAGUCGAACGAAGCACUUUAUUUGAUUUCCUUCGGGACUGAUUAUUUUGUGACUGAGUGGCGGACGGGUGAGUAACGCGUGGGUAACCUGCCUUGUACAGGGGGAUAACAGUUGGAAACGGCUGCUAAUACCGCAUAAGCGCACGGCAUCGCAUGAUGCAGUGUGAAAAACUCCGGUGGUAUAAGAUGGACCCGCGUUGGAUUAGCUAGUUGGUGAGGUAACGGCCCACCAAGGCGACGAUCCAUAGCCGACAUGAGAGGGUGACCGGCCACCUUGGGACUGAGACACGGCCCAAACUCCUACGGGAGGCAGCAGUGGGGAAUAUUGCACAAUGGGCGAAAGCCUGAUGCAGCGACGCCGCGUGAGCGAAGAAGUAUUUCGGUAUGUAAAGCUCUAUCAGCAGGGAAGAUAAUGACGGUACCUGACUAAGAAGCACCGGCUAAAUACGUG